AUUGAACGCUGGCGGCAGGCCUAACACAUGCAAGUCGAACGAGUGGCGGACGGGUGAGUAAUGUCUGGGAAACUGCCUGAUGGAGGGGGAUAACUACUGGAAACGGUAGCUAAUACCGCAUACCAUCGGAUGUGCCCAGAUGGGAUUCGCUAGUAGGUGGGGCAACGGCUCACCUAGGCGACGAUCCCUAGCUGGUCUGAGAGGAUGACCAGCCACACUGAAACUGAGACACGGGCCAGACGCCAACGGGAGGCAGCAGUGGGGAAUAUUGCACAAUGGGCGCAAGCCUGAUGCAGCCAUGCCGCGGGUGUGAAGAAGGCCUUCGGGUUGUAAAGUACUUUCAGCGGAGAGGCGUUACCCGCAGAAGAAGCACCGGCGAACUCCGUGCCAGCAGCCGCGGUAAUUC
rnacentral:rRNA from 1 species